CCAAUAGCGUAUAUUAAAGUUGUUGCAGUUAAAAAGCUCGUAGUUGAACUUCGGGGUUUACCCAUUGGUCAGGCUUAAUUGUCUGUACUGGUGAGAUAAAUCUCUACCUUCUGAGGAACUUUCAUGUCAUUAAUUUGGUGUGAUUGGAAAUCAGGACUGUUACUUUGAAAAAAUUAGAGUGUUUAAAGCAGGCUAACGUCUGAAUACAUUAGCAUGGAAUAAUGAAAUAGGACGGACUGAUUCUUUUUCGUUGGUUUCUAGGAUCACCGUAAUGAUUAAUAGGGAUAGUUGGAGGCAUUAGUAUUCAAUUGUCAGAGGUGAAAUUCUUGGAUUUAUUGAAGACUAACUACUGCGAAAGCAUUUGCCAAGGAUGUUUUCAUUAAUCAAGAACGAAAGUUAGGGGAUCGAAGACGAUCAGAUACCGUCGUAGUCUUAACCAUAAACUAUGCCGACUAGGGAUCGGACGAAGUUAAUUUUAUAAUGACGCGUUCGGCACCUUACG
rnacentral:misc_RNA from 1 species